rfam:Pyronema omphalodes CBS 100304, CBS100304, WGS project CATG01000000 data, contig: Pcon_v1_contig639
GCUUGCGUGGCCAAGUGGUAAGGCGUCCCACUCGUAUUCUUGACGUAAAUUCGCAAUGGGAAGAUCAGCGGUUCAAUUCCGCUCGUGAGCA